UUCGCAAUGCCCGAAAGGGUGACGAAGCGACGCCGCGUGGGUGAGGAAGGCCUUCGGGUUGUAAAACCCUGUCAGGAGUUAUGAAAUGUAAGUACGCUAAUAUCGUGCUUAUUUGACAAAGGCUCCAAAGGAAGCCACGGCUAACUCUGUGCCAGCAGCCGCGGUAAUACAGAGGUGGCGAGCGUUGUUCGGAAUUAUUGGGCGUAAAGAGCACGUAGGUGGGUUUGCAAGUCAGAUGUGAAAGCCUUCUGUUCAACGGAAGAAUUGCAUCUGAAACUGCUAAUCUUGAGUAUAGGAGGGGAGAAUGGAACUUCUGGUGGAGCGGUGAAAUGCGUAGAUAUCAGAAGGAACGCCGGCGGCGAAAGCGAUUCUCUGGCCUAUUACUGACACUCAGUGUGCGAAAGCUAGGGGAGCAAACGGGAUUAGAUACCCCGGUAGUCCUAGCCGUAAACGAUGGGCACUAAGUAGAGGGGUUUU
rnacentral:rRNA from 1 species